AAGGCUGUACUGUGCUUCAUAUACUAAUAUUGGAACGAUACAGAGGAGAUUAACACGAUCCCUGUGCAAAGAUGACAGAUUUACGAAGCAUUCCACAUUCGG
ensembl:snRNA U6 U6 spliceosomal RNA